rnacentral:tRNA from 1 species
ACUACGGUGGUGUAGCGGUAACAUUCUUCCCUUCCAUUGCUUCACAGCGAGGAUGAGCUCAGGGUUCGACUCCCUGUCGUAGUA